rnacentral:rRNA from 1 species
AUUGAACGCUGGCGGCAUGCUUUACACAUGCAAGUCGAACGGCAGCACGGGCUUCGGCCUGGUGGCGAGUGGCGAACGGGUGAGUAUAUAUCGGAACGUACCCAGAAGUGGGGGAUAACGUAGCGAAAGUUACGCUAAUACCGCAUACGAUCUAUGGAUGAAAGCAGGGGACCGCAAGGCCUUGUGCUCCUGGAGCGGCCGAUAUCUGAUUAGCUAGUUGGUGAGGUAAAGGCUCACCAAGGCGACGAUCAGUAGCUGGUCUGAGAGGACGACCAGCCACACUGGAACUGAGACACGGUCCAGACUCCUACGGGAGGCAGCAGUGGGGAAUUUUGGACAAUGGGCGCAAGCCUGAUCCAGCAAUGCCGCGUGAGUGAAGAAGGCCUUCGGGUUGUAAAGCUCUUUUGUCAGGGAAGAAACGGUAGAGGCUAAUAUCCUUUGCUAAUGACGGUACCUGAAGAAUAAGCACCGGCUAACUACGUG